UACGUAGGUGGCGAGCGUUGUCCGGAUUUACUGGGCGUAAAGGGAGCGUAGGCGGACUUUUAAGUGAGAUGUGAAAUACCCAGGCUCAACUUGGGUGCUGCAUUUCAAACUGGAAGUCUAGAGUGCAGGAGAGGAGAAUGGAAUUCCUAGUGUAGCGGUGAAAUGCGUAGAGAUUAGGAAGAACACCAGUGGCGAAGGCGAUUCUCUGGACUGUAACUGACGCUGAGGCUCGAAAGCGUGGGGAGCAAACAGGAUUAGAUACCCGU
rnacentral:rRNA from 1 species